GUCUUGUUGUACAUGGAAUCUGUCUCACAUGCAUGAAUUUAAAAAAAAAACUUACGAUGUCAGCUGCUAAUUUUCAGAUUUACAGCCAUUUUCACUGGACUAUCUGUUGCUGCUAAGUCAUGGGUUAGCCUUGCAAUAACCAAGUGGUUAUAUCAGCUGUUUUGUUGAACCUCUCCCGCAUCUGAACUGGCUGACAGAGGGCACAGCCUGAUCAUAGGUAUGUUUUGAUGUGAGAGGAAUCCAGUCCCGACAGCGCAAUUGUGAUGAACUGAGAGAAUAUUAGGGUAGCACUGUCAUUCAUGAAUCAUAUGCUAUCUGCCGCUGUUCUUACCUCUUUACCCACCUCAUCUUCUAAUGCACACCAUAUGUGCAUUGAAGUACAGAUUUGCCUACCUUCUUUUUUUAACUAGGCAAGUCAGAUAAGAAUGACGGCCUAAGAACUGCCUUGUUCAGGGACAGAAGGACAGACCUUGUCGGCUCGGGGAUUCGAUCUUGCAACCUUCCGGUUACUAGUCCACCUACCCGCCCAAGAUUGAACUUGUAUUUAUAAUAUUACAAUUAAAAUGCACUUCUUUCAAUAAAGCGUUUCACAUUC